GACGAACGCUGGCGGCGUGCCUAAUACAUGCAAGUCGAGCGAAUCAACAGGAGCUUGCUCCUGUUGAUUAGCGGCGGACGGGUGAGUAACACGUGGGCAACCUGCCUGUAAGACUGGGAUAACACCGGGAAACCGGUGCUAAUACCGGAUAAUCCUUUCCCUCUCAUGAGAGAAAGUUGAAAGUCGGUUUCGGCUGACACUUACAGAUGGGCCCGCGGCGCAUUAGCUAGUUGGUGAGGUAACGGCUCACCAAGGCGACGAUGCGUAGCCGACCUGGGAGGGUGAUCGGCCACACUGGGACUGAGACACGGCCCAGACUCCUACGGGAGGCAGCAGUAGGGAAUCUUCCACAAUGGACGAAAGUCUGAUGGAGUAACGCCGCGUGAGCGAUGAAGGCCUUCGGGUCGUAAAGCUCUGUUGUUAGGGAAGAACAAGUACCGGAGUAACUGCCGGUACCUUGACGGUACCUAACCAGAAAGCCACGGCUAACUACGUGCCAGCAGCCGCCGUAA
rnacentral:rRNA from 1 species